AUUGGAUGACGCCACGGUCGGUAUUAGCUUAGUUGGCGGGUAAAGGCCCACCAAGGCGACGAUCCGUAGCUGGUCUGAGAGGAUGAUCAGCCACACUGGAACUGAGACACGGUCCAGACUCCUACGGGAGGCAGCAGUAGGGAAUAUUGGACAAUGGGCGCAAGCCUGAUCCAGCCAUGCCGCGUGAGUGAAGAAGGCCCUCGGGUUGUAAAGCUCUUUUGUCCGGAAAGAAAAGCGCCGGGUUAAUACCCUGGUGUCCUGACGGUACCGGAAGAAUAAGCACCGGCUAACUUCGUG
rnacentral:rRNA from 1 species